GGAGGGGUGGCCGAGUGGUUAAUGGCAACAGACUGUAAAUCUGUCGCGCUAACGCGCUACGGAGGUUCGAAUCCUCCCCCCUCCACCA
rnacentral:tRNA from 1 species